rnacentral:ncRNA from 1 species
CAGAAUACAGUGAAAGAGAAAGUAAUUUUACUAUGGUUAUAAAAGAGAGGUUCUGCACCGGUGAGAGGAACUAUAACAUUUUAAAAUGAAAAUGGCUCUGGAGUACCAUACCGAAAUAUUUUUAUUAAGGCUAUGGCGGAUUUCCCCGAUAACGGAAUAGGGUAUGUUUGUACCCGAUGAGAUCUGUAUUGUGAGAUAUAGAUAAAUAGAAGUGGUAACGCGUUAAUAAUGCCUUCUUU